GGAGGUAGUGACAAUAAAUCUCAAUACGAAGCCUUUGGUUUUGUAAUUGAAUUGAGAACAAUGUACAAUCGUUAUCGAUAAACAAUUGGAGGGCAAGUCUGGUGCCAGCAGCCGCGGUAAUUCCAGCUCCAAUAGCGUAUAUUAACGUUGUUGCAGUUAAAAAGCUCGUAGUUGAAGUUUAGAUAAUUUAUUGAAAGUGUUUGUAUUCGUACAUUCUACUUUUAUGUAAGUUAUCGACAUCCAGGUGGGUGCCAUGGUUCCGCAAGGAACUGUGGUACUAGACUGGUCAUUUACUGUGAGAAAAUUAGAGUGUUUAAAGCAGACUUUUAUUCAGUUUGAAUAGAUUAGCAUGGAAUAAUAAGAUUGGCUUUCAUAGUCGAUUUUUUGGUUUGUUUAUGAAAGCAAGAUUAAUAGGGACAGUUGGGGGUAUUCAUAUUCAAUAGCUAGAGGUGAAAUUCUAUGAUUUAUGGAAGAUGAACAAGUGCGAAAGCA
rnacentral:rRNA from 1 species